rnacentral:rRNA from 1 species
UACAGAGGGGGCAAGCGUUGUUCGGAAUUACUGGGCGUAAAGGGCGCGUAGGCGGCCUUCUAAGUCGAACGUGAAAUCCCUGGGCUCAACCCAGGAACUGCGUCCGAUACUGGGAGGCUUGAAUCCGGGAGAGGGAUGUGGAAUUCCAGGUGUAGCGGUGAAAUUCGUAGAUAUCGAGAGGAACAUCGGUGGCGAAGGCGGCCUUCUGGACGGUGACUGACGCUGAGACGCGAAAGCGUGGGGAGCAAACAGG